ACUCAAAUGAAUUGACGGGGACCCGCACAACCAGUGGAGCGUGUGGUUCAAUUCGAGACUAAGCGAAAAACCUCACCAAGGCUUGACAUGCAAGUGAAAAUCCUGUGAAAGCAGGACCCUCUCGCAAGAGACACUUGUGCAGGUGUUGCAUGGCUGUCGUCAGCUCGUGUCGUGAGAUGUUCCCUUAAGUGGGGAAACGAGUGCAACCCCUAUCCUGUGUUAAAUAUUCACAGAAGACUGCCCUGUUUUUGCAGGGAGGAAGGAGGGGCGGACGUCAAGUCAGCAUGACCCUUAUGCCUUGGGCUACACACACCCUACAAUGGCGAAUAACAACGAGCUGCAAACUCGCGAGAGUAAGCAAAUCUCUGAAAUUUCGCCUCAGUUCAGAUUGGAGUCUGCAAUUCGACUCCAUGAAGUCGGAAUUGGUAGUAAUCGCGAAUCAGAAGGUCGCGGUGAAUGCGUUCUCGGGUCUUGUACACACCGCCCGU
rnacentral:rRNA from 1 species